AGAGUUUGAUCAUGGCUCAGGAUGAACGCUAGCGGGAGGCUUAACACAUGCAAGUCGAGGGGCAGCACGAGGUAGCAAUACUUUGGUGGCGACCGGCGCACGGGUGAGUAACGCGUAUGUAACCUACCCUGUACAGGGGGAUAGCCCGGAGAAAUUCGGAUUAAUACCCCAUAAAGAUAUUGAGAGGCAUCUUUUGAUAUUUAAAGUUUCGACGGUACGGGAUGGGCAUGCGUAACAUUAGCUAGUUGGUAAGGUAACGGCUUACCAAGGCUACGAUGUUUAGGGGUCCUGAGAGGGUGAUCCCCCACACUGGUACUGAGACACGGACCAGACUCCUACGGGAGGCAGCAGUGAGGAAUAUUGGUCAAUGGGCGUAAGCCUGAACCAGCCAUCCCGCGUGAAGGAAGAAGGCGCUAUGCGUUGUAAACUUCUUUUCCAGGGAAAGAAAACCCCCGACGUGUCGGGGCUUGCCGGUACCCUGGGAAUAAGCAUCGGCUAACUCCGUGCCAGCAGCCGCGGUAAUACGGAGGAUGCAAGCGUUAUCCGGAUUUAUUGGGUUUAAAGGGUGCGUAGGCGGAUUAAUAAGUCAGUGGUGAAAACCUUCAGCUUAACUGGAGAACUGCCAUUGAUACUGUUAGUCUUGAGUACGGUCAAGGUAGGCGGAAUGUGUAAUGUAGCGGUGAAAUGCUUAGAUAUUACACAGAACACCGAUUGCGAAGGCAGCUUACUGGGCCAUUACUGACGCUGAUGCACGAAAGCGUGGGGAGCGAACAGGAUUAGAUACCCUAGUAGUCC
rnacentral:rRNA from 1 species